AGAAAUAAAAGGUUUAAGAAAAAGCUGCUAACUUUUUUCUUUAAUGGUUAAACUCCAUUUAUAUUUCU
rnacentral:tRNA from 1 species